GCCUUCGUGGCUCAGUUGGUUAGAGCGCCGGUCUCAUAUUUCGCACCGAAUAACAAUGUGAUCAUCCGAAGGGGUGAGUCAUCCGGAGAUCGCCAGUUCGAUCCUGGCCGAGGGCA
rnacentral:tRNA from 1 species